rnacentral:miRNA from 1 species
CCUCCCUGCCCGCCUCUCUGCAG